UGCCAGCAGCCGCGGUAAUACGGAGGGGGCUAGCGUUGUUCGGAAUUAUUGGGCGUAAAGCGCGUGUAGGCGGUUCGUUAAGUCUGAUGUGAAAGCCCGGGGCUCAACCCCGGAAGUGCAUUGGAAACUGGCGAACUUGAGUACGGGAGAGGAAAGUGGAAUUCCGAGUGUAGGGGUGAAGUGCGUAGAGAUCUGAAGGAACAUCAGUGGCGAAGGCGACUACCUGGACUGAUAUUGACGCUGAGGUGCGAAAGCGUGGGGAGCAAACAGGAUUAGAUA
rnacentral:rRNA from 1 species